AAAGGGAAUGCAAAAUUCAAUAGACAUAGUAAAUAGAAAAACAAAAAGGGGUUUUAAAAUUUGAAAAAACAUAAACCUCGAGAUCGAGUCUCUUGUAAAUGGGAGCAAGGAUGUUGAAGGUAGUGCAAGAAAAACAAGUCGGGUCAGUGAUGGAAGAAGAAAUUGCAUAGGUACCGAUUCUGGGUAUUCUCCCUUUUGCCAUCCCUCCUCCUCCUCCUCCUCCUCUUCUGUUCUUCCUUCCCAUUCCUCCAAUACCUCUCUUAUAUAUUAUAUGUGACCAUGUGGGUUGUCUAUGUAUGUGGUGAAUUUUUAAUUUUUUAAAAAAAUCGAAUUCAAAAUUCGAGCACAAACAAAACAGACACCGACAGGCAGCGACAGGCAGGCAAAUCCAAAGAAUGAAAAAAGACGGUGGAAGAAUAUGGGGAAAACUGAAUAUUCUAGGCUUUUGUCGGGUUGGGUUCGUUUAAUUAAUUCAGGGUCGACGAACACAAUUAACAAUGCGCCAACAAUAUUAUUUUCAUAUAUUUGGAGAGAUGUUCUAUCUAUGUCAUAAGAGAGAGAUGGAAAAGAAACAAAACAAGUUUUUAGGAUAGAGAAACUGUUAGUCGCUCGGUUCCUUAAUAUAAAUCGUUUUAGAUAAAUGAUUUUGUUAUUUAAUAUAAAUUAUUUAAAAAUUUCAAAUAAAUAUUAAUUGUUUAGUUUCUAAUAUUAUCCCAAGUAUUAAAUAUAACUUUAAUUCUCUCACUAUUUUUUAUCCAAUAAAUAAUAAUCUCUUAUUCCAAUACAAGGGCAAUAUAGACAAUUGAUAUUAUAGUUAAUGUUAUACAAUCAUUACCUUAAUACUUGUGCACAACCCUAAAACGACCUAUAUUAAGAAACGGAAAGAAUAUAUUGGAAGAGAGAGAGAGUGGACGUAAUCAUUUCUACUGCUAUAUUUAUUUGUUUGGGAUGCGAUCCAGUUAGUAUGAAGUUUAUUUUUUGAUAAAUUAGUUAAUUGACCAAUAUAAUACUGACACACAUAGAGUCUCGCUUGUGUGUCAGUACUUUAUUGGCCAAUUGAUCAACUUACUCAAAAAUAAAUUUCAUAUUAACCACUUCUAUUUGUUUGGUAUCUGGUUCCUUUAUCGAUUGAUUAAUAUAUUACUACCACGCGGAUUAAUUUUAUGUUAAUUACUUUCAUUUAUUUGUAGUUUUUCUACUUAUUUAUUUAGGUCACAUUACAAAAUUGUUAUUCGUAUUUUUAUAUUUUAGAAAUAAUGUGUAUAUUAAUAAAUUUUCUAAUAUUAAAUUCUAAAUAUAGAAUAAAUUAAUAUAGGAUAAUGUAUAUCUCAUGUAUUUACAUAGCUCCCUAUUUAUUAUUGACAUAAAGAUUUAACGAUAUUACCAUUUAGAUGUUAUAUGAGCCCUAAAUUUUAAGUUCCAAAAUAAUAUGCNNNNNNNNNNNNNNNNNNNNNNNNNNNNNNNNNNNNNNNNNNNNNNNNNNNNNNNNNNNNNNNNNNNNNNNNNNNNNNNNNNNNNNNNNNNNNNNNNNNNCGCAUCACUCGCUGUCAAUGAUGCCCGCCGAAGUUGAUACUGCAAAACAGCGAGAACAUAAUCAAGAUGAUAUUCAGUUUUUAAACAAAAAAAUAUUUUGGAAGAACAAGGCCAAGGAAAAUACAUCUUUCAAUUCUAUGCACUAUGUUUAAGGAUUUGAUAGUGACAAUUGAGAAUCCUUGUUUUAAAAUACAAUAGGACUUUGAUGACAAAAGAAUCUUACAAAAAGUUGCUUACAAAAUGACGUGACUGAUUGUGGUUAGUUGCUAUUACUAGGCCCACCCAUGUAUGGUGGAUCAUCCACUAAUUAAAAUGCCACAUCAUUUUGUUUGUAAGCUUUUUUUUGUCACCGUAGCAGCACUCUUUAAAAUAUGUAUAUUUUGUUCACGCAUAAGUACACCCUUGCACUCCUAUUUCAACAACAGUGCCAAUUAACAAGGGAAUGCAAGAAGUUUCACUUGCAAUAUGAGCCAAUUCCACUGCAGAUAAAAAAAUAAAUUAUUCUUCCUCCAGAGGUGAAGAUAAUUUUUAAUAUAAGUGAUAAAAAAAUGGUGGAUGCAGCAAGGAUGCCUAAUUCUAGCACAAGCUGCUUUAAGACUUUUGCUUGAUUAGUGAAGCAAGUCGCAUAUAUUUUCUGUAAUUUAUUUUAUUUUAUUUUCUUUCUUGAUAAUAAUAACAGAUUUAAUGUACUGGUACUCAGGUACUGUUGUUUGCAUAAUGUACUGCUUAGUAGUGUUUAAUCACCUAAUGACAAAAGGGGGACAGACAAAUGGGAGAAAGUCUAUGGAAUGGACGGAUACUUAGGUGCAUCAUCUAUAUUUCACGACUUUCAUGAGCAUUUAAUACACCAUUUCUAAUCCCCAUUCCAAUAACAAGAUCUUUAGUGAAAGGAAGAGAAAAUAAAACUCUGAUAUUCCAACAUAGGUUUUGAGGACUGGUACCAAGUAUUAGAACUUAAAAAAAACUGUCUAGCACAUAAUUUCAUGCCUACAAGCCAGAUAAUCGGAAAAAAACAACAAGAAGAGCAACAAAAUCAACAUUCAUUGAGCAUCUAGAAUGGAUUUCAUAGUAGGAUUAGAAAGCAUAAGAGUGAAUUUGGGACCGUCAUUCUUAGAGUUAGAUUGAGUUUUGUGUUAUUGUUAACCAUCACAAAAUUAAAUGUUAAAGGAUUAGUUCUGCUGAUUUACAAAAUGAUAUCCCUUCCAAAAUCUUGUCCUCACUUAAAACGACUCUUCUCCUUCCUGGUUGUAGCCCCUACUGCUGUGCCUUUAACUUUAAAUUAUUAUAUUUAACAUAGUCGACAUUUCUAAGGAUCGCCCAUGUAUGUAAUCAACAAUUUGGUCUUAAAGAACAUUUAAGGUGUAUAAAUAUGAGUUGCAAGCCAAAACCUAUAAAUUGAUAGACAUUAAAAAUACUUCAAAAUAUAAAAUGACAUGAAUAGCUCAAAAAACACAUACAGGAGCUUCCUACUUCUAUGGUUGCGCAGGAUCUCCCAAGUUUCAUGAAGCUGAACAGCAUGAAAUUGUUUCAAUGCAGAAGAUAACAAAAGUAUCCAAAAGAAAGAACAUAACAGACCAUAUAUUAUACACUUCAAGGAUUGAGAACAAUCAAGACAUUCUUAGGAGCUUGCUCUUCCUAAGACUAACUAUCUACUCGACUUUAAUAAUUUUGGACCAUUGAAAAGAUACAAGGGGGUUUAGUGAGUCAAUGAUUCUGUCUAGGUGCCUCUGUACUAGAACUUCUGCUAGUGUUUUUAUCAAGUAAUUAGAUUAGAAAUAACAGCUCUACCACAGAUUACAAGUAAUAAAGUAUGCUGCAUGGCCUCAAUUAAAAACUAAAAACUACCACUCCUUGGCUUCUGAUCAUCAUUUCAUGCUCCUCUACUUUUAAAAGUAGCAUGUAAGCAUCAUUAAUAGAACUGCACAUCAAAGGUGAAAGGUAGAAAAUACAAAGAAAGAAAUAGAACUGCUCACCUUGAACAUGCCAAACACUGUUUCACUCCAACUGAUUUUCAGUACUUUCCGGUAUCGGUUAGGAUUGAGAAGCCAUAUAAAGUCCACACCACAUAUAUUUCCCCGAUGAUUACGAUGGCUAACCCACUGCGUAGAAGAAAGAUAGAUGAGAAACAUGUGUAAAAUUCUAUCAUGUGAUUUUAUGGAUAAACUGAUAAAGUGAUUUGAGAUUAUGAUCAGUAGAACGUUGCUGACCUUGUCUGCCUCUGCAUCGGUGUACUGAUGAGCUGUAUCAUACGAUGAUACAAAUCCCUGGGACCUGAGGAACUUGUAAACAUGGCCUCUCUUGCUUCCAUUCCAGUCGCUGAAAAGGUAGCAGAAAUUCAUAACAUGAGAAUCAAAUGUAAUUUUACAUUGGCAUGGGAGUUACAGAACAAGACAGUAACAAAACAAAAAAUUACCCGCACAGUAGGAUUGGCAAGGGAUUAAGCUUGUUUUCUUUCUGAUAUGAUUCGACAUGCUGCAAGAUUUUGUAGACCUAUAAAAACACAUCAUCCAGGUUAAUACUGGAAAGAGCAGAGAAUAUGAUACUGAACAAUUACUGAAUGAGAGAAUACAGCACAAGAUCUUGACUGAAGCAAUUAUUCUACCUGACGCAAUCGUUCCAAGCACAAACUUGAAUCAUGAGGAAAUAAUAAGUGGGUGUUUACUAUAAGGAUUUCUUGCCGAACAUUAUUGCUUCUAUAUUGUGAAAAUGGCGUGACCAGUUCAACAUGUAACAGCUGAGCAACACGAUCUCCAAAACCAUUCAAGAGCAACUCUCGAUGGUUAAUAACUCGAAAGUAAUCUUUAUGCACGGCAGUCAGCAGACCUAUUAAUACCAAUAGCAAUCACCUUAAAUUGAGUAAAAGGCAAAUUUUAGAGUAGCAAAGUUAUAUUAUUUAUUCCACCAAAAGUUAUAUCACACUAAGUCAAUCAUGACAUAUAUAAAUAUAUACAUAUAUAAACUAAUGUAGCACCAAGCAAUCCUUUAAAGUGUGUGCGAAAGGCCGCACUACCAUCCUUUUCCAUUUCUCUUUUCAGGGAAUAAAUAAACAAAAAAAUAAUAAUUUAACUAGUUUUCUCCACAGUACCCGAAACUAAGGGAAGAUAAACGCCUUUUCAUGUUCAAUUGUUCUUUCCUUAAUAAUACAAUGAAGAAAUUAGAUAAUUGAGAAAUAACUUGGUUCUCCAACCUGGAGAAACAGGUCAAUCCAUAGAAUGGACAUCCAAUUGGCAACUUUGACAUCCAAAAGAAUGCCUACAUAUUUGAAAAGAUAAAUUUAAUAAAAGCAAUAACCCAAAAUUCUUUUGAAAUAUUACAUCCAAAAUGGAGAUAACUAUCCAAAUUGUGUAAAAUGAGACAUGGGAGGAACAUACCAUCACCGCGGUUGUUGGUGCGUGCAAGAUUGAAAUUGAUAUAGCCAGCAUCUCCAAGUCUCUUCUUAUACAUAUUAACUAACUCUUCAUUGCCAACCCAAAACUCCUUCAUUAAUAAAUAUAAAUAAACAUGUUAGUAAUGCCAUGGUUUCAUUUAUAGCCUCCUCCUAAAAUCCCUUUUCACAUUCAUAGAUUUCAUUCUAAUACAAAAGUGGGCAUAUAAAAUUAAACAAAUAUAGAAAGUGAAUAACAAUAACAAUUACAAUACCUGGAGGCAGAUAAUGGAAGAACUUUCAUACAACAACAAAUCCAAAAUCCUGUGGUUCCUGUUAAUCCAGUUAGCUCUGUAAUCGCUUUCUCUGCAAUUCUGAUCCUGCUCUUCCAAAUAAAUUAAUUCAUAUUUAAAAGGACUCUCAGAAAUUCAAAGGGAAUGCAAAAUUCAAUAGACAUAGUAAAUAGAAAAACAAAAAGGGGUUUUAAAAUUUGAAAAAACAUAAACCUCGAGAUCGAGUCUCUUGUAAAUGGGAGCAAGGAUGUUGAAGGUAGUGCAAGAAAAACAAGUCGGGUCAGUGAUGGAAGAAGAAAUUGCAUAGGUACCGAUUCUGGGUAUUCUCCCUUUUGCCAUCCCUCCUCCUCC
rnacentral:lncRNA from 1 species